CUAAUAUUUCCGGUGUAUGUUUUGCAUCGACGUAGUUCUAAUGUCCGUGCAUCACAACCAUCUAGUGAGGACAAUGCACACUAACCAAAUAACACCUGACAGCAACAUUGUUUUCUUUCACUCUUUUGUUCCAAGGCUCCUAACGCCGCAGCUUUAACACGGAAGUAGGCCAGAAGACAGCGCAUGACCGCCUGGUGGCAGACGACCAGAACAUUGCCUUGCCUCUCCAGUUCCAUGAUGGCCGGCUCCAGACGCUGGACCAGAUCCUGGACAGAUGUGGGCGCUGUUUCCCUGGCAACGCGGACCCCAGAGAACGGGUCAGAACAUGACAACCGGUUCUGCCACAUCAUCGGUCCACCGUGUAUGGAGAUACGGCAACACGAACACAGGUAACGUCAUAUAUUCGUAUUCAUAUUUACAUUUUCACUUUACAUGACGACCAUUGUUUCUUACCUUGGUAAGUUAAUGGCUGCAGGACCGGAAUGGCCGCCGUUAAGGUGAAUGGCUGUCUGUAGGGCAGAUGCCGGUUCUGUCAAGCCGUCCUUAGUUUCUCUCGGUCCGGCUGGCUGGCGUCAUUCCAAAGCGGAGGCGUGCCGCUACGUCACAGUGUCUUGCCGUAAUAUUGGUAAUAGACGCGCAAGCAUAUUUCAGUUGACACUGUGCUGAAAUUGUGAAAAAAAAGUGGGCCUUCAUCUGAAAUGAGCUGAACAAUUUGAAUUGUUUGAAUCCAUUAGAACAUGUGGAAGUACUUCAUUAACAAUUCUACACAUUUUGU